rnacentral:lncRNA from 1 species
CAAUUCUUACGAACAUAUUUCCAAGAACUUAGGCUGCCAAUUUUUGUAAAAUAAUUGUUUCUGUUUCAGUCAAGGAAUCGGAUGCUUUUACCUGUAAUUAUUCGCAGACAUUAAGGUGUAAAAGCUAUUGUUCCUCAAUAGGACACUGUAGUAAACGACUAUGCCUCAAUACAGGUGCUGUGGCUAUGUGUGUUUGCAGAAUGUGUUCAAGCAAAUAUAGACUCCCGUUCUGGUAAGUUUUAUUACUUAACUUUCCUUCAUAAUUUAUAUGUACCAAAUCUUAUUUUAAAAAGUAAAAUAACAAAUAGUAUUUCUAAUUCAAAUGAGUCUACAAAUUAAAAUGAAAUAAACCAAAUUGUGGUUUUAUAUACGCUCUAAAUUUUUCUUGGAGAGUUUUUCAGAAAGGCGGAUGUAAACUGAAAUAUAUUAAAUUGAUACUUAAUAUGAUAAAGAUUGCGGUAUAGACAACGAUUUGCAUGCACAUAGAAGGACGUACAGAACAAUUGAUAGACAUUCUUUUCUUUUAUAAAAGAGUAAAAAAUGUAAAAUAUGCAUAAAUGAUAAAUCAACGAUCAUCAAAAUCAGGUGCUUGUAAAACACAUAUCGAAAAAAUAUUGAAGCAAAUUCAGAUAAUCAGCUUAAUACUGCACAAUUCAAGAAACCCAUAAACCAAAAUUGCAUGCAGAUUCUUGCGUGUGUAGUAUAAACAUUUAAACAGCUUAGCAAAACUGUUCAGAUACAAAAUACCGUACGUUUUAUUUCUUUUCAUUUUAGGAGAAAUUCCAUGGAGGAGUAAACACGAAGCCAUAGAGGAAUGUUAUUCAUAACAUGAAGUAUUUUCCGUUGAUUCUUUUCUGAAUAAACAUAUGAAUGUUAUGAAAUAAUGUGUAAUUAAUAAAAGUUUUUAAAAUAC